UUUUGUAACCUGUCUUUAUUUAUCAAAUUCACGUACAAUUUAAAUGUCAGAUUGAUUGAUUUCAACUGAGUUACAGGAGAAAUUGUUCAGAUGUUUUAGGAAAGUCAGGAGUGAGAGAAAGGCCAGCUGAUGUUUUAAGCUUUGAUCCCAUAUGCAAAAGUAAACUUGCACCCAACCCUGUGAUGCUCUGAUGGACCGAAUCCUGCCCGGUGCUGCACAGCCACGAGCCUCUGCAGAACCCAGCCAAGCUCCCUGCAAAAGCACAUGGCCUUGGGCAGCUCAUCUGUGCCCACAUCUUGAAUGGCACCCCUGGAAAUAAGCCCACCGUGUUCAACAGCCUGGACCCGGACUUUUAGCAGUGUGACAAGAGCAGCGUUUGGCCUUGAUGUGUUUUAACCGCUUCCACAAUGCAGGUUUGGGUGCAAAUUUCAUCUUGUAACCAUCGCUUUAUCACAGGGCACUGCAUGGAGAUGCAGUCCCUGCUGACAGCAACAAAGAGACCACACUGGAUCUGGCCCCCAGAUAGCAGGAAUAGAGCUUUAUGCCCAAGGCACUGUUAUUCUAGGAUCCAGCAGCUCACUAAGUAUCUUGUUGAUAUUCCCACUCACUAAACCUUCGUAAAGUCCCUUCCUCCCGCAGAGAUUUAUUUAACUGUGCCUGGGACAGUACAUAGACAGACCAAAAUAUACUGAGGGCUGCCUGGUAAGGAUUCAUGGACCCAGCUGUUGCUACGGCUUCUUGCUAUGUAAAGUGCAUGAAAUAAAUUGUCAAAAUGACUCAGAGCUCUAAAGGAAACAGCAAGCAAGGGGGUGGGGAGUGCAGCAGAAGCACAAACUCCUGCAUGAAGGCUCUUUGGUCUCAUUCUUCAAAGAGGCCUUAGAAAUUAAAAAUAAAAGAGUGGCAGGUGCCCAGCCCAGCCGUGACAGGAGUCCCAAAUUACGCCCUGACCAUUGUGGUGGGCUGUGAAACAAAGAGCAUUAUGUUCUGCUGGGCUCCAGCGCCUAGGACAGGGCAAAAAGAAAGUCACCAAGACC
rnacentral:lncRNA from 1 species